AUGGCCAAGCUUGCCCUUCUCGCCGUGCUCGCGCUGCUCGGUUCCGUGGCCAGUCAAGCAUCCGGCUACGGCUACACCUAUCCCAACCCCACUCCCAUCAUACCACCGCCCCCACCGGCUACUCCUCCGCCGAGCCCUUCCCCACCUCCACCGGCUACUCCUCCGCCCAGCCCUACCCCUGGCCCUACACCGGGCUAUCCUAGCCCAACUCCCACCACGCCGGCCACGCCCCCACCGGUUUCUUCUCCGACGAGCCCUACCCCACCUCCACCGGCUACCCUCCCACCGAGCCCUACUCCUACCCCAGGCUAUCCCACCACCAGUCCUACUCCCACCACGGCCUCGCCCCCACCGUCUUCUACCCCUACCCCGCCUCCACCUGCCACCGGGCUCAAGGUCGGCUACUACGAUGACAAGUGCCCUGACGCGGAGAAGAUCGUGCUGGACGCCGUGCGCAACGCCACCGCCGGCGUGAAGGCCGGGCUCAUCCGCCUCUUCUUUCACGACUGCUUUGUCCAGGGUUGCGAUGCCUCUGUCCUGCUGAACAAUGUCUCUGGCAAGCCUGAACCGGAGAUGCUCGGUAUCCCAAACUUGAGCCUGCGUGGCUUCGAAGUGAUAGAGGCGGCCAAGAAGAAGAUCGAGGAAAAAUGUCCGGGUGUCGUCUCCUGCGCCGACAUCGUUGCCUUCGCAGGCCGUGACGCCAGCAAGUUACUCAGCGGCUACAAAAUAAACUUCAACAUGCCGGCCGGCCGCUACGACGGAUUGGUGUCCCUCAAAGACAAGACCCUCCCCAACCUGCCCCCACCCUUCGCCAACCUCACUACCCUCACACAAAUGUUCGCCAAGAAGGGACUCAGCCAAACCGACAUGGUUGCGCUUUCCGGCGCGCACAGCAUCGGCCGCUCGCACUGCUCCUCCUUCCGCGACCGUCUCCAGCCACCGGCCAACGACAACUCCACCACGUCGAUGGAUGCCACUUACGCUGGGAAGCUGACCCAGGACUGCCCCGCCGGGAAUGAUCCCACGGUGCCGCAGGACUACAAGACCCCCGACGUGCUGGACAGCCAGUACUACAGGGACGUGAUGGAUCGCAAAGUGCUCUUCACCUCCGACGCGACGCUCAUGACGUCACCAGAGACCAAGGAGCUGGUGGAAAAGUACACUUGGUGGUGGAUCGGAGAUUUCUUGUGGUACAGACAUUUCGAGGAUGCCAUGGUGAAGAUGGGCAAUAUCGAGGUGAAGAACAACACCAACGGCCAGAUCAGGAAGAAGUGCGGGUUUGUCAACGAGCCCUACACCGGUUGA
rnacentral:rRNA from 1 species